AACGAACGCUGGCGGCAGGCCUAACACAUGCAAGUCGAGCGAGGACUUCGGUUCUAGCGGCGGACGGGUGAGUAACGCGUGGGAAUGUGCCCUUCUCUACGGAAUCGCCCUGGGAAACUGGGCUUAAUACCGUAUACGCCCUAUUGGGGAAAGAUUUAUCGGAGAAGGAUCAGCCCGCGUUGGAUUAGGUGGUUGGUGGGGUAAUGGCCUACCAAGCCGACGAUCCAUAGCUGGUUUGAGAGGAUGAUCAGCCACACUGGGACUGAGACACGGCCCAGACUCCUACGGGAGGCAGCAGUAGGGAAUCUUCCGCAAUGGGCGAAAGCCUGACGGAGCAACGCCGCGUGAGUGAUGAAGGUCUUCGGAUCGUAAAACUCUGUUAUUAGGGAAGAACAAAUGUGUAAGUAACUGUGCACGUCUUGACGGUACCUAAUCAGAAAGCCACGGCUAACUACGUG
rnacentral:rRNA from 1 species